GACCAGAUGUCCCUAUUUUAUAGGGACAGUCCUGAUAUUUGAGGUUUUUUCUUCUAUAGAUGCCUAUUACUACCCCGCCCUGUCCCAGUUUUUCACACUUGCUGUCUGGUCACCCUAGCCUCAGCUGAGGGUUAUUUA